UGGCACUCAGUCACACCGAGAGAGCGAGAGCGGGUCUCACAUACGGCCCAGGUACGGGUACAGAGAUGCCCGGGACCAGUGAAGGAUGUGCAGGUGAGUGUGUUUUGCCAGUGUAAGGUGUGUGUCAGACUGACGAGUGUGAGGAGAGUGACAGUGACGAGAGGAUGUACAGUGGUCCUAAUGAAGAUGAUGUGUUUUCAAGAGUGUCUUCUUUUAGUGACAUCUCACUGUCUGAGGAUGCUUUACCUUCCUCACUCUUUUCCUCUCACUCUCUCUCUUUUUCUUUUUCCUUGAAGAUAACAAAGUCGGCACAGGUUUGAAGGUAGACAGUAUGCGUGUGUGCGUGUGAGGCACGUGGCGGUUGCUCUCAUUUCCGGGAGUGUCCACACCAUCUGGUCCCUGAGGAUGAACGAUGAUUCUUGUUUGUGGGGGGAGGAGGAGUCUUCAAGGUUAAGCUCUUGGGACCUGGGCAGAGGGCAAAAGCACUCAAUCCCCUGGCUGUGUCCCGACUGAGACGGAUGUGGGAUGGAUGUCUGUGAGAGAUAAGACAGAGAAACGGUGGACCAGAGAGCGGAUGCGGCACUGGCGUGUCUGAGAGAUUAAAUGUUCAAUAUGUUCACAUGCCUGAUGAUGAUGAUGAUGGUUUCUAAUGGUUUUUAAAUAAAACUUGACCGUG